UACGGAGGGUGCAAGCGUUAUCCGGAAUCACUGGGUUUAAAGGGUGCGUAGGCGGUUAGAUAAGUCAGUUGUGAAAUUCUCCGGCUUAACCGGGUGAACUGCGAUUGAUACUGUUUAACUUGAAUCAGGUUGAGGUAGGCGGAAUGUGGCAUGUAGCGGUGAAAUGCAUAGAUAUGCCAUAGAACACCGAUUGCGAAGGCAGCUUGCUGGACCUUGAUUGACGCUGAGGCACGAAAGCGUGGGGAGCAAACAGGAUUAGAUACCCUGGUAGUCCACGCCCUAAACGAUGUUUACUUGCUGUGUGAUCUUCGGAUUGCGUGGCGAAGCGAAAGCGAUAAGUAAACCACCUGGGGAGUACGCCGGCAACGGUGAA
rnacentral:rRNA from 1 species